rnacentral:lncRNA from 1 species
GGGGGGGGGCGGGACGGGGCGGGGCGCGGGGCGGGCCCGGCGAGGCCACCCCCUUACCCAGCUGUAGACCUCCUCGCCCUCCUUGCUCUUGCGCAUGCGCUGCACGUAGCGGGAGAAGAUGGACAGCAGGGCCGCCAGCACCACAUCCGACUCAGCGCUGCAGGAGCGCUUGGAGAAGAGGUACUGGGGGCCUUCAGAACCCCCGCGCUGUCAGCCGACAAACCCACAGAAAAGCAAGGUCAGGAGAAAGACAGCCACGAAGGAGCAAGCCGCGGGAAAACACAGACCCGUGCCCGGCUCACGGGGCCCCUCAGGAGCAGGGUGCGCGUCCUGGCCCCUGCACGUCCCAGGCUGGCCCAGAGCCACAGAGGUAAGCAGCGCUGGGUGACCACAAAGACACGGGUGCUCCUGCCCUUGGAGCCAAGGUGUGGCCAAGCCGCCUGCCCGCUCUUGACCCAGCUGGCUCACAAGCUCCCCCCAUCCCCGCCCCUCACCAGGGCCAGGUCGCUGUGCUGGCCCUGCUCCUCCACGGGCGUGUGCUGGGACAGAUAGACCAGGUAGGCGCUGAUGGUCUGCGGGUCGGUCUCCAUGUGGAUGGCCUGCAGAGGGGGCCCGGGUGAGCAGCCUCUCCCUU